UACGUAGGGUGCAAGCGUUGUCCGGAAUUAUUGGGCGUAAAGGGCUCGUAGGCGGUUUGUCGCGUCGGGAGUGAAAACUCAGGGCUUAACCCUGAGCCUGCUUCCGAUACGGGCAGACUAGAGGUAUGCAGGGGAGAAUGGAAUUCCUGGUGUAGCGGUGAAAUGCGCAGAUAUCAGGAGGAACACCGGUGGCGAAGGCGGCACUCUGGGCCGGUACUGACGCUGAGGAGCGAAAGCGUGGGGAGCGAACAGG
rnacentral:rRNA from 1 species